UACGUAGGUGGCAAGCGUUGUCCGGAUUUACUGGGCGUAAAGAGCGCGCAGGCGGUCGUUCAAGUCGCGUGUGAAAGCCCCCGGCUCAACUGGGGAGGGUCACGCGAUACUGGUCGAUUCGAAGGCAGGAGAGGGUAGUGGAAUUCCCGGUGUAGUGGUGAAAUGCGUAGAUAUCGGGAGGAACACCAGUGGCGAAGGCGACUACCUGGCCUGUUUCUUGACGCUGAGGCGCGAAAGCUAGGGGAGCAAACGGG
rnacentral:rRNA from 1 species